UGACCUCGGAUCANGUAGGGAUACCCGCUGAACUUUAGCAUA
rnacentral:rRNA from 1 species